ACACAAGGAUUACGUUUGAUUCAAUUCAGUUACAUAUUGGAUACAUACGUUAUCUUGAACAUAUUGAUAACGCCGCCUUUUUAUUGUAGUACAAACAAAGAUAGAUAUUGACAAUGCUAUUUAGCCAAUAGCUGCAUUGAAAGCAAAUUUUCAUAAAUGUAAUACUGCAUUUUUAUUGGUUUGCUAGCUACCUUUCAUGUCUUUUCUUUGGAAUAGGCGAACAUUGUUCAGUUUUCUCGUAUAGAACCUACAGUAUUUCCUAUAAGUCAGAUUGAACAAAUUGGACUGAAUAAUUAGAAAAUGUCAGGAUUGUUCUUAAAACUGAAAGCUCGUAAAUGAUUUAGACAGGCAUGAAGAUGUAAGAAUUUCUAAUGCCAAAAACAGUGACGAAAUAUUUGAAGAAAGUGGAAUAGGAGCUGAGCUUCAAAGCCAAAUAGUUAUUGAAUGGAGGAAAGAGUUUUCAAAAUUGCACUUGGUUUAAUGGGCAAGAUGGUGCCAAACUGGUACAAGAUGAAAUAAUUGAAGGACCUAAGUUGAAUAUUAAAAAAUAGUAAGAGGCAAGCAAUGCUAAUCUGUCAAUUCGGAUAUAUCAGAGAGCGUGUUACCCGCAACUUCUAUUGUGAGCAGAAGUGUUUGAAAUUCUUUCAUUGGAAUUCAAUAAAACUGGUGGCGUUAUGAAUCUAUUUUUUGUUUCAGAAGUGUAAAACAUUUUCAUGUGGACUUCUGCUUAGACGGAGUAUUGUUAAAUCACCUAUCUAUAGCAUUUAAAAGUGAGAUGACUCAACAAGUAUAAAACGAAUAGCAGAUUUAGAUAGUUCCUUCUUUUCAAAAAGAGACUAAGCUAUAAAUUAUCUUGAACAUUCAACAACAACUUUUAUUGCAAAUUUUUGCCACCAACUUGUUAUUACAUAUAAACUAAGGUGGAUCCAGCUACUUAAAAUAUUAAAUACACUGUAAAAAUGACGAUAUACAGAAACAGUAGGUGUAGUGUGUAAAAAUAAUGGAUUGUAUAAAUCUAGUGUUUUCAAUAUGAUCAUGAAUAAUGGUCGUAAUAAACCCGAGGAGUAAAUUAAAACUGUUCAAGUUUGUUUCUUAAAAUGAGUAGUUUAAUUCAAAAAAGAAAAAUAGAGAAACGAUUUCAUAUGACAGGGAAACACUGUUAAAAUGCAAGGUCGAGUUAAAACUUGGAUACUUUUCGAUAACAAGAAACUCCGAAAUGUUGUUUUAAAUACGAAGAAGAUGCUUUUAAGUGAAAUGCAUAAUUUAAGUUGAACUGCUGUUGCUUUACAGAAUACAUGUAUAUCAUUUAGCAAUAUUUAGUAUAAUCUUUGUAUUGUUUACCAUUGACAUUACAUUAAUAAAUGAGAUAAACUUUGUAUAUUUUAUAUUUUCUUCUGUGUUAUAU